UGGGGAAUAUUGGACAAUGGGCGAAAGCCUGAUCCAGCCAUGCCGCGUGUGUGAAGAAGGUCUUCGGAUUGUAAAGCACUUUAAGUUGGGAGGAAGGGCAUUAACCUAAUACGUUAGUGUUUUGACGUUACCGACAGAAUAAGCACCGGCUAACUCUGUGCCAGCAGCCGCGGUAAUACAGUGGGUGCAAGCGUUAAUCGGAAUUAGGGGGCGUAAAGCGCGCGUAGGUGGUUUGUUAAGUUGGAUGUGAAAUCCCCGGGCUCAACCUGGGAACUGCAUUCAAAACUGACUGACUAGAGUAUGGUAGAGGGUGGUGGAAUUUCCUGUGUAGCGGUGAAAUGCGUAGAUAUAGGAAGGAACACCAGUGGCGAAGGCGACCACCUGGACUAAUACUGACACUGAGGUGCGAAAGCGUGGGGAGCAAACA
rnacentral:rRNA from 1 species